rnacentral:rRNA from 1 species
UACGUAGGGCGCAAGCGUUAUCCGGAAUUAUUGGGCGUAAAGAGCUCGUAGGCGGUUUGUCGCGUCUGCUGUGAAAGCCCGGGGCUCAACCCCGGGUCUGCAGUGGGUACGGGCAGACUAGAGUGCAGUAGGGGAGACUGGAAUUCCUGGUGUAGCGGUGAAAUGCGCAGAUAUCAGGAGGAACACCGGUGGCGAAGGCGGGUCUCUGGGCCGUUACUGACGCUGAGGAGCGAAAGCGUGGGGAGCAAACAGG